AYGAAGAAUAAUUAGUGGCAGACGGGUGAGUAAUGCAUAGGAAUCUACCUAGUAGUAUGGGAUAGCCACUAGAAAUGGUGGGUAAUACUGUAUAAUCCCUGCGGGGGAAAGAUUUAUCGCUAUUAGAUGAGCCUAUGUUAGAUUAGCUAGUUGGUAGGGUAAAGGCCUACCAAGGCGAUGAUCUAUAGCUGGUCUGAGAGGAUGAUCAGCCACACUGGAACUGAGAUACGGUCCAGACUCCUACGGGAGGCAGCAGUGGGGAAUAUUGGACAAUGGGCGCAAGCCUGAUCCAGCUAUGCCGCGUGAGUGAGGAAGGCCUUAGGGUUGUAAAACUCUUUCAGUAGGGAAGAUAAUGACGGUACCUACAGAAGAAGUCCCGGCAAACUCCGUGCCAGCAGCCGCGGUAAUACGGAGGGGGCAAGCGUUGUUCGGAAUUAUUGGGCGUAAAGGGCAUGUAGGCGGUUCGGUAAGUUAAAGGUGAAAUGCCAGGGCUUAAC
rnacentral:rRNA from 1 species